rnacentral:rRNA from 1 species
CCUACGGGUGGCAGCAGUGGGGAAUAUUGCACAAUGGGGGAAACCCUGAUGCAGCGACGCCGCGUGAGUGAAGAAGUACUUCGUUAUGUAAAGCUCUAUCAGCAGGGAAGAAAAUGACGGUACCUGAGUAAGAAGACCCGGCUAACUACGUGCCAGCAGCCGCGGUAAUACGUAGGGGGAAAGCGUUAUCCGGAGUGACGGGGUGGAAAGGGAGCGUAGACGGCAGUUCAAGUCUGGAGUGAAAGGCGGGGGCUCAACCCCCGGACUGCUCUCGACACUGUACGGCUGGAGUGCAGGAGGGGUAAGUGGAAUUCCUAGUGUAGCGGUGGAAGGCGUAGAUAUUAGGAGGAACACCAGUGGCGAAGGCGGCUUACUGGACUGUAACUGACGUUGAGGCUCGAAAGCGUGGGGAGCAAACAGGAUUAGAUACCCCAGUAGUC